UGUGGUUCACUGAUAUGAUAGCUUGCUCGGAUUUGAAGAUGAACAUUGCAAAGAGUGGCGAACGGGUGAGUAACACGUGGGAAACCUACCUCUUAGCGGGGGAUAACACUUGGAAACAAGUGCUAAUACCGCAUAAUACUGAUAACCGCAUGGUUAUCAGUUGAAAGAUGGUUCUGCUAUCACUAAGAGAUGGUCCCGCGGUGUAUUAGCUAGUUGGUAAGGUAAUGGCUUACCAAGGCAAUGAUACAUAGCCGAGUUGAGAGACUGAUCGGCCACAAUGGGACUGAGACACGGCCCAUACUCCUACGGGAGGCAGCAGUAGGGAAUCUUCCACAAUGGACGAAAGUCUGAUGGAGCAACGCCGCGUGUGUGAUGAAGGGUUUCGGCUCGUAAAACACUGUUGUAAGAGAAGAAUGACAUUGAGAGUAACUGUUCAGUGUGUGACGGUAUCUUACCAGAAAGGAACGGCUAAAUACGUGCCAGCAGCCGCGGUAAUACGUAUGUUCCAAGCGUUAUCCGGAUUUAUUGGGCGUAAAGCGAGCGCAGACGGUUGUUUAAGUCUGAAGUGAAAGUCCACAGCUUAACUGUGGAAGUGCUUUGGAAACUGGAUAACUUGAGUGCAGUAGAGGAGAGUGGAACUCCAUG
rnacentral:rRNA from 1 species